rnacentral:lncRNA from 1 species
CCCCUCCGCUCCGCCGCCGCACGCCGGGGAGGUGGCGACAAAGGGGCCCCGGCCCGCCCCGCCCCGGCGGGGAGCGGAGCCGGGACGAGGACAAAACUAUCCCGGCGGAGACGGACUGCGAACAAUACCCGGCUGGGCGGGGGCUGCGCGCUCACGGCGGCUCCGCAGGGCCCCGGCAAGGCUGCCUCGGCCCCGCCGGCCGCCAGGGGAGCGGCUCCGCCGCCCCGCGCGCUCUCCCCACCCCCGUGGGCCCUCGCGCACUGGAGGGGGAGGGAAGAGGAGGGGGAGAGAAGAGGAGGGGGAGAGCAGGGAGGCGGUGGGAUGGGUCGCGCAUGCGCGCCUGGCCCCCGCCUCGUCGCUACGGGAGCGUGCGCAAAGCGGGUUUAGUGCAGAAGCUGCUUCUGUCUUCUACCUGAACACAGUUUAUUUCCACUUUUCCAAAGGUGUUAUCCUGUCUCAGAAGUAAAAAGCAUAAUUGCAACUGAAAGCUGUUUAGGUGUCCUUUAGACGCUUGUAUAGGUGUGUUUACAGGAGCAGGAGAAAGGAAAAAGUCAGAUAAGGAUGAACAAACAGGAAAAUGUGAUUACACUCAUAAUUCCUACAGAACUUCCUUUCUCAGCACUAUUAUGUAACCAGUGCAGGAUAAUCCCAGCCACUGCAUGAGGGACAGCCUUUCAUUUCAGGUUGGGGCAAUUUUUCCUGCUUUCACCUUGAGACUGUGAAAGAAAUAUUUAAUCACAGUAUAGAGAAAUAUAUUUUACAUUAAUUUCAGUAGCCUGAUUUCUCAGUUUGUGACUUAAUUGCAACUGCUUAAUGUAAGUCACCUACAUAUAUCCUGUAUUUAAAUAAAGGGUAUUUC